AGAGCUGUGGUGUUUCUAGCUCGGGCAGGCAAGAAACCUGGCACUUGGUCCAGUCAGGUGGUCCACUCCAAGUGGCAUCUGACUGACCAUGCCAGCAAGUGCCUGGACCGGAUGAAGGACCUAUAUAUGGCGGUUGUUAGAGGUUGGACAGAUAUGCAGCCAUCAACCUCCUCCACCAUCCAUCCGUCCACAACCUCUGCCAGCCAGCCGUCAACCUCCUCCAAAAGAGCCUCCACAGGCCCUCUGAGCUUACCUCCAAGAAAAAGCACCAGAAGGAAGACAGAAGAUGGAUCGAAAGUGGAAAGAUAUUCCAACUUGAGUGGGUACGGAUGGAAGAAACC